GGCUGGUUAGCUCAGUUGGUUAGACUGUGGUGCUGAUAACACCAAGGUCAUGGGUUUGAUCCCCGUUCGGUCC
rnacentral:tRNA from 1 species